rnacentral:rRNA from 1 species
AUUGAACGCUGGCGGCAGGCCUAACACAUGCAAGUCGAACGGUAACAGGAAGCAGCUUGCUGCUUCGCUGACGAGUGGCGGACGGGUGAGUAAUGUCUGGGAAGCUGCCUGAUGGAGGGGGAUAACUACUGGAAACGGUAGCUAAUACCGCAUAAUGUCGCAAGACCAAAGAGGGGGACCUUCGGGCCUCUUGCCAUCGGAUGUGCCCAGAUGGGAUUAGCUUGUUGGUGGGGUAACGGCUCACCAAGGCGACGAUCCCUAGCUGGUCUGAGAGGAUGACCAGCCACCCUGGAAGUGAGACACGGUCCAGACUCCUACGGGAGGCAGCAGUGGGGAAUAUUGCACAAUGGGCGCAAGCCUGAUGCAGCCAUGCCGAGUGUAUGAAGAAGGCCUUCGGGUUGUAAAGUACUUUCAGCGGGGAGGAAGGGAGUAAAGUUAAUACCUUUGCUCAUUGACGUUACCCGCAGAAGAAGCACCGGCUAACUCCGUG